rnacentral:lncRNA from 1 species
AUUUACAGACAGCCACUUGAGGAACACAGUGACACUGAGGUGGAGAGAAAGAAAUGAGCAUUUUGGCAGUGGAUGGGGUCUGGGGGUGCUGACAGCUGAGCCAUUCCACGCACCUUCGGAGCAAAGAACUGCCGGAAACCAGGGCCAAGUUCAGAGCCUGAAAUUUUUUUCAAAGGCUACAAGGAGAAACCUGGGGGGCCUGAUCACACAUUACAUAAGCCGUAUGUGAGCAGAGGAUGCCACUGAUGCUAGGAACCCAGUGCCUGUCGGAAUUGCGCAAGGUUUACGCAGAAGCACUUAAGUGUUGCAACAUGACCCCACAUCUUUACCAAAAAUGUGAAACAUUCACGCAGCACACACUUUAAAAACACUAAAGCUUGUCUCCGCCAGGUGGCUAAGGCUGCUUGAUGGGGCUGACAGGAGAGGAGCUUUGCAGGGGGGCCUGACUUACUGUAGCUCUUGGCCCAGGGAGCUGAACACGCAGUACUUUGUACCCCAAUAGCCCUGGGCAGCCCAAGCCUCUGAUAAAAUGUACUUUUCUGU